rnacentral:lncRNA from 1 species
UUUGACUAUUAUUAUUCCUGCUGUGUUAUUACAUUUCUGGCUGUGGUUAUCAUACCAACAUCUCUGUUUAUUAUAAAAUGAGACGCUGUCCUCAUUGGCCAACUGGUAUUCUUUCCAGACAGACCAAAACCGUCUCAGAGGAGUUAAAAGUGAAAAUAAUUCAUGUCACACUGCUGAGGAAACUAAAUACCCCGUGGUCAAGAAAUAAAUAUGUCAAAGCUUCUAGGAAAAUAUUAACUGGGAAUCUUGCUUCAGACUCAGUCAAAUUCUGGGCUUAGCACUAACAUUCCAGGAAUGCGGGCUGCACAAAAUCAACACAAGCCUUGCUCCAUAUUCUGCUACCCAGAAAAACAUUGUGAGAGAGCGGCUCAGACAAGGGUGAAUGGACGAUUGCUAAGAAAAGAUAGCGAGGGUGGAGCAAGAUUGCAGUGGUUAAUGUGUAGAGGAAGAAACCUGAAGUUAAAGUGUAAGGAGGAAUGAAGUCAGCUUCGAAGCUUCACUCUUGGCUGUGAGAAAAGACGGUAAUUGGUUUUAAUGUUGAAAGAAACAAUAUCCAGAUUCUACAUGUCAUGCCUAUUGCUCUGGGAAUAUUUCUGAAAUAUCAGAUGUCAAGAGGUUUUAUUUUAGAGGAAGGAAGUCUACUCAUAUUUGGGAGACUUUAAGUAAAUAGAAAAACCUUUUUUCAUAAAAAUAUUAUUUCAAAAGACACAAAAGUACCCAUCACUCAGCUUCAGUAAUUAAUCAUAGGUCAUCUUUCAGCUGUACUCUCUAACCUUUCUGGAAAAAUCUCUGUCUUC